rnacentral:tRNA from 1 species
AAAUAAGAAACAAAAAUUUGUAACUAGUUUCGACCUAGUCCUUUGAUGUUCAUUCAUCCUUAUUUA